AAUCAACGCUGGCGGCGUGCCUCAGACAUGCAAGUCGAACGAUGAAGCCUAGCUUGCCAGGCGGAUUAGUGGCGCACGGGUGAGUAACACGUAGGUAAUGUACCUUUGAGUGGGGAAUAACUUAGGGAAACUUAAGCUAAUACCGCAUAAUGCAGCGGCUCGACAUCGAGACAGUUGUUAAAGGAGUAAUUCGCUUAAAGAGCAGCCUGCGGCAGAUUAGCUAGUUGGUAAGGUAAUGGCUUACCAAGGCUACGAUCUGUAACCGACCUGAGAGGGUGGUCGGUCACACUGACACUGAAUAACGGGUCAGACUCUUACGGGAGGCAGCAGUCGGGAAUUUUGGGCAAUGGGCGAAAGCCUGACCCAGCAACGCCGCGUGAAGGAUGAAGUAUUUCGGUAUGUAAACUUCGUAAGAAUAGGAAGAAUAAAUGACGGUACUAUUUGUAAGGUCCGGCUAACUACGUGCCAGCAGCCGCGGUAACAC
rnacentral:rRNA from 1 species